rnacentral:rRNA from 1 species
GACGAACGCUGGCGGCGUGCUUAACACAUGCAAGUCGAACGGAAAGGCCCUGCUUUUGUGGGGUGCUCGAGUGGCGAACGGGUGAGUAACACGUGAGUAACCUGCCCUUGACUUUGGGAUAACUUCAGGAAACUGGGGCUAAUACCGGAUAGGAGCUCCUGCUGCAUGGUGGGGGUUGGAAAGUUUCGGCGGUUGGGGAUGGACUCGCGGCUGAUCAGCUUGUUGGUGGGGUAGUGGCUGACCAAGGCAUUGACGGGUAGCCGGCCUGAGAGGGUGACCGGCCACAAGGGGACUGAGAGACGGCCCAGACUCCUACGGGAGGCAGCAGGGGGGAAUAUUGCACAAUGGGCGGAAGUCGGAUGCAGCAACGCCGCGUGCGGGAUGACGGCCUUCGGGUUGUAAACCGCUUUCGCCUGUGACGAAGCGUGAGUGACGGUAAUGGGUAAAGAAGCACCGGCUAACUACGUG